UUUUCAAAUUAGUCAACAAGAUGGAGAUUUAAAUAUUGCAAAUGAUUGAAAUAUUGUUUUUGGAGAACUUAAGAGCUUUAGAAAUGACGACUUGUAUCCCCUUGCAUCAUUUUAAAUGGAGCUCUUUUUCUCAUUUUGACCACAGCACGUAGAAGAGUUGGCCUUGAAGUCCACGUACUCUUUGACCUUGGCGCCCAGCGGAGCUCUCAGCAUGGCGUCAGCAGAAAUCUUCCCCCUGUUGAGAGCAGGUCGCUUCAUCUUAUCCUUCAGCUCCUCAAUCUUCAUGGAAAUAUUUUCAAGCUGCAGGAAACAAUGACAAGUGAAAGAAAACCUGUUGAGGUGAGAAGCGGCUGUGAAUUCUCUUCUUUUCCUCAAGAGAAAAACCCACCCGAAUGUAAUGGAAAUAGCCUCCUGUGAGCUGACAUAGUCUGUAUCACUUCACCUCUACACGGCAUCCCCCCACACCGGGUUGACCACCACUUCUGUAUACUCCCGUUACUCACCACCACCAAGAGUAGAGGCUUUAAA